rnacentral:rRNA from 1 species
AGCAGCCGCGGUAAUUCCAGCUCCAAUAGCGUAUAUUAAAGUUGUUGCAGUUAAGAAGCUCGUAGUUGAAUUUCGGGAUCAAUAUAUCGGUCGUGCCUUGGUACUUACUGGUAUCAUUGGUUUCUCCUUUCUGACGAACCAUGAUGUCAUUAAUUUGGUGUUAUGGGAAGUUAGGACUGUUACUUUGAAAAAUUAGAGUGUUUAAAGCAGGCUUUAGCUUGAAUACAUUAGCAUGGAAUAAUGAAAUAGGACGUUCGAACCUAUUUUGUUGGUUUCUAGGAUCAACGUAAUGAUUAAUAGGGAUAGUUGGGGGCAUUAGUAUUCAAUUGUCAGAGGUGAAAUUCUUGGAUUUAUUGAAGACUAACUACUGCGAAAGCAUUUGCCAAGGAUGUUUUCAUUAAUCAAGAACGAAAGUUAGGGGAUCGAAGACGAUCAGAUACCGUCGUAGUCUUAACCAUAAACUAUGCCGACUAGGGAUCGGAUGAUGUUAAUUUUUUAAUGUACUCA